rnacentral:rRNA from 1 species
AUUGAACGCUGGCGGCAGGCCUAACACAUGCAAGUCGAGCGGAUGAAGGGAGCUUGCUCCUGGAUUCAGCGGCGGACGGGUGAGUAAUGCCUAGGAAUCUGCCUGGUAGUGGGGGAUAACGUCCGGAAACGGGCGCUAAUACCGCAUACGUCCUGAGGGAGAAAGUGGGGAUCUUCGGACCUCACGCUACCCGAUGAGCCUAGGUCGGAUUAGCUAGUUGGUGGGGUAAAGGCCUACCAAGGCGACGAUCCGUAACUGGUCUGAGAGGAUGAUCAGUCACACUGGAACUGAGACACGGUCCAGACUCCUACGGGAGGCAGCAGUGGGGAAUAUUGGACAAUGGGCGAAAGCCUGAUCCAGCCAUGCCGCGUGUGUGAAGAAGGUCUUCGGAUUGUAAAGCACUUUAAGUUGGGAGGAAGGGCAGUAAGUUAAUACCUUGCUGUUUUGACGUUACCAACAGAAUAAGCACCGGCUAACUUCGUG